UGAAUACCUCUCGUCGUUUAUACGAAGAGAUAUUCCUUAUGCACGGAUCGAUGCUUUCAGAGUGUGUGCACAAUUUUUGCUUUCAGAAUACCCCCGUCUCGCCUGAAGAUUCACGUUGUUUGGAGUUUGGACUUAUUGAUAACCCCUCAAACCCGAAUCCUCAAACUCAAACCCUGCAAUCUGGUUGUGGCGGACUUCGAUCCCACGUCUUUCCGUCUUUGCAAAAACCACCCGGAGACUUUACCAGCAUGCCACCUGGCGCCUUCAAAUGACUCAUACCAAGCAGUUUUUCUUCUUCUCCAUUUUUUGCUAGCAGAAUUUUACUGUAGUGGAGAGUGGAGAGCGUAGAGAGCGCCGUGUGUUCAUGGCGGCAGAGAAUAGCUGAAAUCGACACAAUAAAAUAUUAGCUUUUGUUAACCUAAUUCAUUCCUCCCGUUUCGUUGCUACAGGAGCUUUAUAUGAAUGUCUGCUCCGCACCGGAUUUUCUGCGUUUUCGCACUCAGUGUAUCAUCAUCGGCACCUAAGCCCAAGAGUUUUCUUCCAUUUAAUUGUUAUUCUUUACAUUCUUUUUCAGCUCGUUUUGCAGUAGCUGAGGCGCUCAGAUUUUCUAGCUCUGUCUCUGACUCAUCCAUGCCGAAUCGCCGGGGAAAAGCAGGAAUAAGAGAACAGAAGUGGAAAGAGAAUCCAAAAUAUGAUAGACCAUCUUUGUCCACGGAGAGUACACCUAUGAUUACUGAAGCUAUUGCAGAUAAUCUGAUUGGGUUGAAUAUAAAUGAAAAUGGUGGACAAGACUCUCUUUCAUUCUCACCUAUAAAAUUUGAAAGUGCUCAAAUGGCGAGCCAUGUAUCUGUCAAAGGUCAGACAGCUAUUUGGAAGCCAAGAUCAUAUGGGACGAUGAGUGGAGCUACAGCUGUUGAAGUUAAAACUGUAGCUCCUGAUCAAACUUCGGUUGCAGUUGACAUCAAGGCAAAUGAUGUUGAAACCGCGGCAAGCAGCAAAGGUAGCUCUGGGUUGAGUAAGUUAUUGAAAGGUCCCCUGGGAGCAAAUUUUUCUGUGGACAACUUCACGUACUCUUUGGCACAAAUUAGGGCAACCUUUUAUCCAAAAUUUGAGAAUGAGAAGUCAGACCAAGAGGUUAGAACAAGAAUGAUUGAGAUGGUCUCUUGUGGCCUGGCUACAUUAGAGGUCUCACUAAAACACUCUGGGUCUCUUUUUAUGUAUGCGGGGCAUGAAGGUGGAGCAUAUGCCAAGAACAGCUUCGGGAAUAUAUACACUGCCGUUGGUGUUUUUGUUCUUGGGCGGAUGUUUUCUGAGGCAUGGGGCACUGAAGCAAGCAGAAAGCAAGCAGAAUUCAAUGACUUUCUUGAGAGGAACCGUAUGUGCAUAUCAAUGGAAUUAGUAACUGCUGUUCUAGGAGAUCAUGGACAACGGCCUCAGGAAGAUUAUGUUGUAGUGACAGCAGUAACAGAAUUGGGCCAUGGGAAACCAAAGUUCUACUCCACACCCGAUAUAAUUGCGUUUUGUAGAAAGUGGCGCUUGCCAACCAACCAUGUGUGGUUGUUCUCAACAAGGAAAUCUGUUGCCUCUUUUUUUGCUGCAUAUGAUGCGUUAUGUGAGGAAGGAACUGCAACACCUGUUUGUAAGGCUCUUGAUGAAGUUGCUGAUAUUUCUGUACCAGGAUCAAAAGACCAUAUAAAGGUGCAAGGUGAAAUCUUGGAGGGUCUUGUGGCUCGUAUAGUUAGUCCUGAGAGCUCAAAACAUGUGGAGAAAGUUUUGAAAGAAUUUCCUUCACCUCCAUUAGAUGGAGCUGGUCAGAACUUAGGGCCAAGCCUUCGGGAAAUAUGCGCAACUAAUCGGUCAGAUGAAAAUCAGCAAGUUAAGGCACUGCUUCAAAGUGUUGGGACCUCUUUCUGCCCUGCUUACUCAGAUUGGUUUGGAAAUAGAAAAGGUGAUGUCCAUUCAAGAAAUGCUGAUCGAUCCAUCCUUUCAAAGUUUUUGCAAGCACAUCCUGCUGAUUUUGCCACUACCAAAUUGCAGGAAAUGAUUCGUCUGAUGAGAGAAAAACGUUACCCAGCUGCUUUCAAGUGUUACUAUAACUUCCACAAGUUAGACUCUUCGGAUGAUGACAACCUUCACUUUAAGAUGGUUAUCCAUGUGCACAGUGAUUCAGCUUUUCGACGAUACCAGAAGGAGAUGAGGUAUAAACCAGGAUUGUGGCCAUUGUAUAGAGGUUUCUUUGUUGAUGUGAACUUAUUCAAGGUGAAUAAGGAGAAAGCUGCUGAAAUUGCAAAAGAUUGCAACAUACUAGAAAAAAGCAUCAAUGGUAACUCCAACCCAAAAGCAUCAGGAACCGAUUUGGCUGAUGAAGAUGCAAAUCUAAUGAUCAAGUUAAAAUUUCUUACUUAUAAGUUACGAACUUUCUUGAUACGCAAUGGCUUAUCCAUUCUCUUCAAAGAAGGUCCAUCUGCUUACAAAGCAUACUACUUGAGGCAAAUGAAAACAUGGAACACAUCAGCUGCAAAGCAGAGGGAACUCAGCAAGAUGCUAGACGAAUGGGCUGUGUACAUAAGGAGGAAAUGUGGGAACAAACAACUGUCAUCAUCCAUUUAUCUUAGUGAAGCUGAGCCUUUCCUGGAGCAGUAUGCAAAGCGCAGUCCAGAGAAUCAAGCUCUGAUAGGAUCUGCUGGAAACUUAAUAAGAGCUGAAGAUUUUCUGGCCAUUGUUGAAGGAGGCAGGGAUGAAGAGGGUGACCUUGAGACAGAGCGGGAAGUAUCACCUUCAAGUCAGAGUCCGACAGUGAAGGACAUAGUUCCAAAAAGUGAGGGUCUGAUUGUAUUCUUUCCAGGUAUACCAGGUUGUGCUAAGUCUGCAUUGUGCAAGGAAAUUCUAAGUUCUCCAGGUGGACUUGGGGAUGAACGACCUGUAAAUAGCCUCAUGGGUGACCUAAUCAAAGGAAGAUAUUGGCAGAAGGUUGCAGAGGAACGCAGGAGAAAACCAUAUAGCAUUACUCUUGCUGACAAAAAUGCACCUAAUGAAGAGGUCUGGAGGCAGAUUGAGGACAUGUGUCGAAGCACAAGGGCUUCUGCUGUUCCAGUGAUUCCUGAUUCUGAAGGAACUGAUACAAAUCCGUUUUCACUUGAUGCAUUAGCUGUUUUCAUUUUCCGUGUGCUUCAGCGAGUUAAUCACCCGGGAAAUCUUGACAAAGCAUCUGCAAAUGCUGGUUAUGUCCUGCUGAUGUUUUACCACCUUUAUGAGGGCAAGAAUCGCAAAGAAUUUGAGAGCGAACUAGUUGAGCGUUUUGGAGCCCUUGUCAAGAUGCCAUUGCUCAAUGCAGAUAGGAAUCCUUUACCUGAUCCUGUGAAAUCUGUACUAGAAGAAGGGUUAAGUCUUUACAGCCUUCACACCAACAAGCAUGGAAGAUUGGAUUCCACUAAAGGAGCAUAUGCGGCAGAGUGGGCUAAAUGGGAGAAGAAAUUACGGGAAGUCCUAUUUGGGAAUGCAGAUUAUUUGAAUUCUGUUCAGGUUCCAUUUGAUUAUUCUGUUCAGAAAGUGUUGGAGCAAUUAAAAAUUGUCGCAAAAGGUGAUUAUACAACAUCCAAUACAGAGAAGAGGAAGUUUGGAACUAUUGUUUUUGCAGCUGUUACUUUACCUGUUGCAGAGAUCAGUAGCCUUCUGAGUAAGAUGGCCGAGAAGAAUCCUCAGGUUAAAGGUUUUCUCAAGGAUAAAGAUAUGGAGAAUUCCCUCAAGAAGGCUCAUGUGACUCUUGCUCAUAAGAGGAGCCAUGGUGUCACCGCUGUUGCCAGUUAUGGCGUGUUCCUCCAUGGAAAUGUCCCAGUUUAUCUGACAGCACUGCUCUUUUCUGAUAAAUUGGCUGCACUUGAGGGAGACCUUGGCUCUGUCGAUGGUGAGAAAAUAAUCUCAAAAAACCAGUGGCCCCAUGUCACCAUAUGGACUGGAGAAGGAGUUGCAGCCAAGGAAGCAAACACGCUACCACAGCUUCUUUCCGAGGGGAAGGCAACACGCAUCAACAUAGACCCACCAAUCGAAAUAUUAGGAACAUUGGAUUUUUAUUGAAUUCUUGCACCUUCAGCCUUCAACAACCAGCUUAGAGGUGUACAUUUUAAGUCAAUUUAGGCUGUGCUUGGCUUGAAGGAAAAGAUGGGGAAAAGUCUGCGACGUGCAAUCUGCUUCGAUCUUCCAUUUUUGAAGACUUCAGAGUUUUACAACAGGUUCUCAUGGGUGAUGUAUCUCUAGACCCCGGACUUCGCCAUACGAAGAAUGGUAACGUGCGACGAUUAGAACUGAUGAGACAAGUGAUCUUAUAUUUUGUUUAAUUGAUGUAAGAAAAGGUGCAAUCGGUCUGACCAGGUUAUAAAUGUCGUUCUUAUUUCUUAAGAUGGCGGAAGCUCAUCUGCGACCACGUCAUACAAAUUACAGGUGAUAUGCGUUUUUUAGCCCAUGUUUGGGAGUGCUUAAUUUUAAGCGCUUAUUGAAAUAAGCACUUACUUGAGGUCAGGAUAAGUGGACAACACCAAUAAAUACUUGUUAGCAUUUGGUAAGUAAACCCCACUAAAUGCUUAUGAAUAUAAAUAAAUUUAUUUUGAC